rnacentral:rRNA from 1 species
UACGGCGGGGGCUAGCGUUGUUCGGAAUUACUGGGCGUAAAGCGCACGUAGGCGGACUGUUAAGUCGGGGGUGAAAUCCUGGGGCUCAACCUCAGAAUUGCCUCCGAUACUGGCAGUCUCGAGUGCGGGAGAGGUGAGUGGAAUUCCCAGUGUAGAGGUGAAAUUCGUAGAUAUUGGGAAGAACACCAGUGGCGAAGGCGGCUCACUGGCCCGUAACUGACGCUGAGGUGCGAAAGCGUGGGGAGCAAACAGG